rnacentral:rRNA from 1 species
CGCGUGGGAACAUGCCCCAAAGUGAGGAAUAACUGCCCGAAAGGGUAGCUAAUGCCGCAUAUGAUCUUCGGAUUAAAGUCUUCGGACGCUUUGGGAGUGGCCUGCGUAUGAUUAGGUAGUUGGUAGGGUAAUGGCCUACCAAGCCGACGAUCAUUAGCUGGUCUGAGAGGAUGACCAGCCAGACUGGAACUGAGACACGGUCCAGACGCCUACGGGAGUCAGCAGUGAGGAAUCUUCCACAAUGGGCGAAAGCCUGAUGGAGCAACGCCGCGUGCAGGAUGAAGGCCUUCGGGUUGUAAACUCCUUUCGCUAUCGACGAAGCCACUUGUGGUGACGGUAGGUAGAUAAGAAGCACCGGCUAACUACGUG